UACAGAGACUGCAGGCGUUAUUCGGAUUCACUGGGCGUAAAGGGUGCGCAGGUGGCCAAGUGUGUUAGGCGUGAAAGCCCGGGGCUUAACCCCGGAAUUGCACCUAAAACUACUUGGCUAGAGCAUUGGAGAGGGGAGCAGAAUUCAUGGUGUAGCAGUGAAAUGCGUAGAUAUCAUGAGGAAUACCAGAGGCGAAGGCGGCUCCCUGACAUAGCUGACAACUCAGGCACGAAAGCGUGGGGAGCAAAAGGG
rnacentral:rRNA from 1 species